rnacentral:RNase_P_RNA from 1 species
UGAGCAGGCCGGGCGAUCGCUCUGUCCCUUGCGGGCGGAGAGGAAAGUCCGGACUCCGCAGAGCAGUGUGCUGGCUAACGGCCAGGAUUUGUCGGGCCUCUUUCGCUUCGGCGGCAGGGGUUGGGCAGGUACGGAAAGUGCCACAGAAAAUAUACCGCCCCGCUUUGUCGGCCCGCCGCCGUUAGGCUCCGGGCAACAAGACGGGGUAAGGGUGAAAUGGUGCGGCUCCUUCGGGAGCUUAAUGUAAGAGCGCACCGCCCGGACGGUGACGGCCGGGGCAGGGCAAACCCCACAUGGAGCAAGACCAAAUAGGAGAGGAGGAGUGACUCGCUCCGCCCCACUCCGCCCGGCAACGGGCGGGGAUCACUCUCGGGUAGGUCGCUAGAGCCCGGAAGUAAUUCCGGGCCCAGAGGAAUGAUCGCCGUCCCGCUUCCUCGUUUCGGCGGGGGCGGGAUACAGAAUCCGGCUUACAGGCUUGCUCGCCUA